rnacentral:rRNA from 1 species
GACGAACGCUGGCGGCGUGCCUAAUACAUGCAAGUUGAGCGCUGAAGGUUGGUACUUGUACCAACUGGAUGAGCAGCGAACGGGUGAGUAACGCGUGGGGAAUCUGCCUUUGAGCGGGGGACAACAUUUGGAAACGAAUGCUAAUACCGCAUAAAAACUUUAAACACAAGUUUUAAGUUUGAAAGAUGCAAUUGCAUCACUCAAAGAUGAUCCCGCGUUGUAUUAGCUAGUUGGUGAGGUAAAGGCUCACCAAGGCGAUGAUACAUAGCCGACCUGAGAGGGUGAUCGGCCACAUUGGGACUGAGACACGGCCCAAACUCCUACGGGAGGCAGCAGUAGGGAAUCUUCGGCAAUGGACGAAAGGCUGACCGAGCAACGCCGGGGGAGUGAAGAAGGUUGUCGGAUCGUAAAACUCUGUUGGUAGAGAAGAACGUUGGUGAGAGUGGAAAGCUCAUCAAGUGACGGUAACUACCCAGAAAGGGACGGCUAACUACGUG